CUCCUCUCUACCAUGUUGUCUCCUCUCUACCAUGUUGUUGUCUCCUCUCUACCAUGUUGUUGUCUCCUCUACCAUGUUGUUGUCUCCUCUCUACCAUGUUGUCUCCUCUCUACCAUGUUGUUGUCUGCUCUCUACCAUGUUGUUGUAACUGUGUUUUUGAGUUAUUGAAUGUACCUCUGUUUCCUAUGAUAUAUCAACAGAGUUUAAUACAACAGUAAGAUAGAGCUGUGAUAUUUUCCCAAAUGGCACCCUAUUCCCUAUACACAGUUGUUAGGGAAAGCAUUAUAUAGGGAAAGGGGUUUCAUUUGGGACGCAGAUAGUGUUAGAGAGAGCAGGGUGAAGCACCAAUCACAGACACACUGAUACUAUUGGGAGAGCGAGAGAUUUAAUAGCUCAAUAUAUCCAGAAGCCUACAAGACUUAAACAGUUGUUUUCUCACUGUUUCAUUGCUUAAAGAAACAUGCUAUGGCUGUUUCCUGUCCGGAAAAUCCAUUUUGAAGCCUAGAGGACCCCAUCACAGUUGUCCAUUUUGGAGAUGUUUAUCUGAAUACCACUUACAGAUGUAGGAUCUUAAUUUGAGCCAGUUUGCUACAGCAGUAAAAUAAUCCUUCAGCAACAGGAAAUGUGAAUUAUUAGGUGGAUUAAUGGACAUUUUUGAUAAGGGGGAAAAAAUGUUGUUUUUUUUAAUACAUUUUCCAUAAGAGAAAAUCACGUCUGAAAAAAAAAGUGGAAGUUACAAACUUCAGAAGAUUUGAAUACGUUACAGGUUUCACAUUUCCUGAAUAGCAUGGAAGUUCUGGACGGACGGACAGAGAGAAGAACAGAGAGGCACGGAGAGAGACCACCUGGCCCAGCUCAAAAUCACAUAGUGUAACACACUUGUGAGAAGAAACACUCUCCAUCUGUCUAACCCCAUACAAUAACACAGCUAAAAUAAUCGGGAAAUGAUUUUAUCCAUGGUAUUCACAAAAUGGUUAACUAGCUAGAGAGUCUAGAAUCUGGGUCCCAUCUCAUCUUAAAUACAGAAUAGUUAACUAGCUAGAUGGUCUAGAAUCUGGGUCCCAUCUCAUCUGAAAUACAGAAUAGUUAACUAGCUAGAUGGUCUAGAAUCUGGGUCCCAUCUCAUCUGAAAUACAGAACAGUUAACUAGCUAGACGGUCUAGAAUCUGGGUCCCAUCUCAUCUUAAAUACAGAACAGUUAACUAGCUAGACGGUCUAGAAUCUGGGUCCCAUCUCAUCUGAAAUACAGAACAGUUAACUAGCUAGACGGUCUAGAAUCUGGGUCCCAUCUCAUCUGAAAUACAGAACAGUUAACUAGCUAGACGGUCUAGAAUCUGGGUCCCAUCUCAUCUUAAAUACAGAAUAGUUAACUAGCUAGACGGUCUAGAAUCUGGGUCCCAUCUCAUCUUAAAUACAGAACAGUUAACUAGCUAGACGGUCUAGAAUCCGGGUCUCAUCUCAUCUGAAAUAAGGUUUAUAUAUUUUGUCUACUAUUACAUGAUUUUGACUUCAGACUUUCCUUUGACAAUAUAGAUAUUUGUUUCUUGAUUCAAAUCAAAGACAUUGUUAUUUGUCACAUGCUCUGUAUACAACGGGCGUAGUCUUGACCGUGAAAUGCUUGAUAUCGUAGAAUUUGUGCUCUUAUUUUGUUGCUUUUCGACUUUUCGUCCCAGCCAUCUUAGCUCCCCAUUGCAGCACACGGCUAUGAUUUAUCAAUCCAUAUUCAUCUCAAAGCUUUGCUGCCUUCAGCUUCUAAUCAACGACUUAAACAUAUCUAUGUGUUCAUUUAUGGCCUGUCACUGGAGCAGCUUUCUUUUAGAUAUUAUUUUUUUUUUUGCAAACUUUCGAUAUGGAGAGAAAAUUAAAUGGUUGUCACAACGCUUUUAAAAUCAGCCAAGGCUGCCUGCUUCCCUUCUCUCAGAUGACAGUUUGUUGAAAGCCUUUUAAUAAUUCUAAUUAGUUAAUGGAUCUGAUCACAUUUAUUAAAUCUGCAGUAAGCACUUCUUUCCCGGUCACUUUGGGCUUCGUCCCAAAUUGCACCCUAUUUCCUCAUUACGUUUGACCAGACUCCUAUCGGGCCCUGGUCAAAGUAAUGCACUAUAUAGGGAAUUAGGGUGCCAUUUGAGAUGAUGCUCAUCAAAGUGAAAUGAUUGAGCUAAAACACUAAGAGGGGACUCAAAUGGAAAGAGCCGUAUAGUGCCAAGCAUCCGUCCAUGGCUCUGCCUGAGUAAAACUCUUUCAUUCUUCUACCACUAAGUAUGGAAGUAGACAGAAAAGAGUUUUAGGAUAUUAGGACCACUAUAAGAAGAUGUUAGGAUGUUAGGACCCCUAAAAUAAGGUGUUAGGAUCCCUAUAAUAAGGUGUUAGGAUGUUAGGACCCCUAUAAUAAGGUGUUAGGACCACUAUAAUAACAUGUUAGGAUGUUAGGACCCCUAUAAUAAAGUGUUAGGACCACUAUAAUAAGAUGUUAGGAUGUUAGGACCCCUAUAAUAAGAUGUUAGGACCACUAUAAUAAGAUGUUAGGAUGUUAGGACCCCUAUAAUAAGAUGUUAGGAUGUUAGGACCACUAUAAUAAGAUGUUAGGAUGUUAGGACCCCUAUAAUAAGAUGUUAGGAUGUUAGGACCCCUAUAAUAAGAUGUUAGGAUGUUAGGACCCCUAUAAUAAGGUGUUAGGACCACUAUAAUAAGAUGUUAGGAUGUUAGGACCCCUAUAAUAAGGUGUUAGGACCACUAUAAUAAGAUGUUAGGAUGUUAGGACCCCUAUAAUAAGAUGUUAGGAUGUUAGGACCCCUAUAAUAAGAUGUUAGGAUGUUAGGACCCCUAUAAUAAGGUGUUAGGACCACUAUAAUAAGAUGUUAGGAUGUUAGGACCCCUAUAAUAAGAUGUUAGGAUGUUAGGACCCCUAUAAUAAGAUGUUAGGAUGUUAGGAUGUUAGGACCACUAUAAUAAGAUGUUAGGACCCCUAUAAUAAGGUGUUAGGAUGUUAGGACCACUAUAAUAAGGUGUUAGGACCACUAUAAUAAGAUGUUAGGAUGUUAGGACCCCUAUAAUAAGAUGUUAGGAUGUUAGGACCCCUAUAAUAAGAUGUUAGGAUGUUAGGACCCCUAUAAUAAGAUGUUAGGAUGUUAGGAUGUUAGGACCCCUAUAAUAAGAUGUUAGGAUGUUAGGAUGUUAGGACCCCUAUAAUAAACCCUACUGCUGAGCAUGGAGAGGAUAUAGACGUUGAUUGAUGAAGGUUCCACACAACAUGUCCAUUGAUGUUUCUCUG